GGAGAGGUCGCCAUUGGCAAAGCAAGCUGCCUGCUAAGCAGUCGUAGGUCAUAUCAAUCUACUGUGGGUUCGACUCCCACUCUCUCCGCCA
rnacentral:tRNA from 1 species